rnacentral:rRNA from 4 species
ACGAACGCUGGCGGCAUGCCUAAUACAUGCAAGUCGAGCGGACUUGAAGAGAAGCUUGCUUCUCUGAUGGUUAGCGGCGGACGGGUGAGUAACACGUAGGCAACCUGCCCUCAAGUUUGGGACAACUACCGGAAACGGUAGCUAAUACCGAAUAAUUGUUUUCUUCGCCUGAAGGAAACUGGAAAGACGGAGCAAUCUGUCACUUGGGGAUGGGCCUGCGGCGCAUUAGCUAGUUGGUGAGGUAACGGCUCACCAAGGCGACGAUGCGUAGCCG